UGGGGAAUUUUGGACAAUGGGGGAAACCCUGAUCCAGCCAUCCCGCGUGUGCGAUGAAGGCCUUCGGGUUGUAAAGCACUUUUGGCAGGAAAGAAACGUCGCGGGUUAAUACCCCGCGAAACUGACGGUACCUGCAGAAUAAGCACCGGCUAACUACGUGCCAGCAGCCGCGGUAAUACGUAGGGUGCAAGCGUUAAUCGGAAUUACUGGGCGUAAAGCGUGCGCAGGCGGUUCGGAAAGAAAGAUGUGAAAUCCCAGAGCUUAACUUUGGAACUGCAUUUUUAACUACCGGGCUAGAGUGUGUCAGAGGGAGGUGGAAUUCCGCGUGUAGCAGUGAAAUGCGUAGAUAUGCGGAGGAACACCGAUGGCGAAGGCAGCCUCCUGGGAUAACACUGACGCUCAUGCACGAAAGCGUGGGGAGCAAACAGGAUUAGAUACCCUGGUAGUCCACGCCCUAAACGAUGUCAACUAGCUGUUGGGGCCUUCGGGCCUUGGUAGCGCAGCUAACGCGUGAAGUUGACCGCCU
rnacentral:rRNA from 1 species